CGCGUAGGUGGUAGUGUAAGUCUGAGGUGGAAUCCCAGGGCUUAACCCUGGAACUGCCUUAGAAACUGCAUUACUUGAGUCAGUGAGGGGAGGGUAGAAUUCCUGGUGUAGCGGUGAAAUGCGUAGAUAUCAGGAGGAAGGCCUGUGGCGAAGGCGGCCCUCUGGUGCUGGACUGACACUGAGGCGCGAAAGCGUGGGGAGCAAACAGGAUUAGAUACCCUGGUAGUCCACGCCCUAAACGGUGGGCACUAGGUGUAGGGCUCGUAAGGGUUCUGUGCCGAAGGGAAACCAUUAAGUGCCCCGCCUGGGGAGUACGGCCGCAAGGUUGAA
rnacentral:rRNA from 1 species